rnacentral:rRNA from 1 species
CAGCCGCCGCGGGAAUACGGAGGGUGCAAGCGUUAUCCGGAUUUAUUGGGUUUAAAGGGUCCGUAGGCGGACUUAUAAGUCAGUGGUGAAAGCCUGUCGCUUAACGAUAGAACUGCCAUUGAUACUGUAAGUCUUGAGUAUAUUUGAGGUAGCUGGAAUAAGUAGUGUAGCGGUGAAAUGCAUAGAUAUUACUUAGAACACCAAUUGCGAAGGCAGGUUACCAAGAUAUAACUGACGCUGAGGGACGAAAGCGUGGGUAGCGAACAGGAUUAGAUACCCGAGUAGUCCCUGUCUCUUAUAU